rnacentral:lncRNA from 1 species
UUUUGGCCUAUUAGCAAAUAUGUUUCCAUUUUGUCUUCCAGCAUCCCUAAUCUUGUUUCAAUUUUCCCUUUGAUUUCUUGGAUCACUUCUUUUGUUAGUCUCUUCCAUAUCUCUGCAAUAAUUACUAUGAAAGUUCUCUUUUUCCUUCCUUCCAAGUUUCAGAAAAAUUGUAUUUAGGAUUCUGAACCCCAAUAUUCUAUUUUUAUUUAUCCUCUGCUACCCAUACAGGCUUUUCCUUUCUUUUGACUGCAGGGUCUUUUUAAAUUCUUCCGGAGAAUGUCUUUGUUUUUAAUUCACAGUUCUUCUGGGUCACAAUCAAUCAAAUUUAGUUAUGCAAAUCUGUUAUUUAUGCAACCAAGGAGAGGAUAAGAAAUCAAGUGCAGUAUUCAAGGAUGGAUUAAGACAUGCUGAGUAGACAUGCAGUGUUACAUUUAACAGGUGCUGCAGCAUUUUUUUUAAAGUGUAUUCCGCACAAGGACAGACACAAAAAGGGUGCUGGUUUUGAGAAUGACUUUUUUUUAAUGUUUACAGACAUUGUGUCCAGGAAGUUUAAAAGACAGUAGUGUUACUGGGAGUAAACUACACAAAACUAUUAAUUUCAUUAUUAGAUUAAAUAGUAAUAAUACUUUUGAGUUGAACUUUUCUGGAUAUGAUAACCAGUAAAUGCAAAGAUAUUAAGUUUUUAAAAGCAAAAUAUUAUUAUUAACAGUAAACUUGUAAAAACUUUUUUGCCACCUAGACUAGUUCUUGAACCCACCUACAGGAGAAUCACUGAUCCGAGUAAUUUACAUAACUGUUUAUGUAAAUACUGCAAACUAUUAACUGAACAAACGGCUGUUGUUAAAGGGAAAAGUCUACACCUCAACACCAGUACAUGAGUAAAGAAACGAAGUUCCACAUCAGCUUCACACCGUUACAUUCUAUCCUGACUACUCCAGAGAAAAUUAAAUACUCAACAAUGUUACUGAAAUCGAUGGGAACAAAAUCAAUUUAUCUCAACAUCAGGUCAGUGCGUUCAUUUUUUGUCUGCUUUUUUAAAAAUGUUUUUCAAUCAGAUAUCAGUUUGGUCCAUACUUUGCCAUGAGUUGUCUCACUGAGAUCAGUAGUUGAAGAUCAUCAUUGACGUAGUGUAUCUGCUCUAAGCACGAUUCAGUCUGACUCCAAUUCAUUAUUUCUUUCUAGCACCAGAGCCUUGCACUUCAAUAAGGCAAUAAAUAGUCCACUGACUGACUGGCA